ensembl:miRNA
UGAGAACUGAAUUCCAUAGAUGGUGGCUACUGGAGAUGUCAUCUAUGGGCUCAGUUCUUCUGG